rnacentral:rRNA from 1 species
UACGUAGGGGGCGAGCGUUGUCCGGAUUUAUUGGGCGUAAAGGGCGCGUAGGCGGCCUGUUAAGUCGAACGUGAAAUCCCCGGGCUCAACCCGGGAACUGCGUCCGAUACUGGCAGGCUUGAAUCCGGGAGAGGGAUGCGGAAUUCCAGGUGUAGCGGUGAAAUGCGUAGAUAUCUGGAGGAACACCGGUGGCGAAGGCGGCAUCCUGGACCGGUAUUGACGCUGAGGCGCGAAAGCCAGGGGAGCAAACGGG